rnacentral:rRNA from 1 species
AAUGAACGCUGGCGGCAGGCCUAACACAUGCAAGUCGAACGGCAGCACCGUAAGUGCUUGCUCUUACGGGUGGCGAGUGGCGGACGGGUCAGGAAUACACCGGAAUCUACUCUUUCGUGGGGGAUAACGUAGGGAAAUAUACGCUGAUACCACAUUCGACCUACGGGUGAAAGCAGGGGAUCUUUGGACCUUUUGCGAGUGAAUGAGCCGAUGUCGGAUUAGCUAGAUGGCGGGGCAAAGGCCUACCAAGGCGACGAUCCGUAACGGGUCUGAGAGGAGGAUCAGCCACACGGGAAGUGAGACACGGCCCAGACUCCUGAGGGAGGCAGCAGUGGGGAAUAUUGGGCAAUGGGGGCGAGCAUGAUCCAGCCAGACCGCGUGGGUGAUGAAGGCGCUCGGGGUGGAAAGCCCUUUUGUUGGGAGAGAAAAGCAGCAGGUUAAGACGCCGCGAUACUGACGGUACCCGAAGAAUAAGCACCGGCUAACUACGUG